AACUGCUGAGACACAAAUCAUCAAAAGUAAGGUAAGUUUUAAUCCAUUGAUUUGAGUUGUACAAUGUGUUCUUUACUUUAUUUCAGAUUCGAGUCACUGGUUUACACAUGGAAGAAGAUUUCCACGUCUGUUACUCAACUCUACAGAAGCAAGAUGUUUUGUUUCAGUUGAUGUCCAGAUGGCAAGCAGUACAGACGUGUUUCUUGGAGCUGCCAAACAGGAGCUGUGGUAAGUAUUGUAGUAUUAAUUUGUCUCAAUAAACGAUGAUGAAUGAAAACUGAUGUCGAUUCUUUUUGUACAGUUUUAGGUAUUAGCACUCUAUACAAAACUCUGUCGGUCGGUGUUUGUGAAUGUGAGCUUAAUGUUUGAGUAGAACAAAAAUGUCUUUACUUUUGUGAUCGCCAGUUGUCUGUGAUGUAAAGUGGAAAAAACACAGCUAUGAAGCAUACAAUUGUUUCAAUAUUUUAUCAAUGAUAGUGUGCUAUGCAUGUUUUGAUUUAGUUCGUUUCAGAUACGACAUGACAUGAAGAGUUGACAGUCGAACAGAGCUGAGCAAAGCAGAAAGGUAAGUGUGUUUCAUUUUAGUAUGAACACUUGUAUUUUGUUUUUAUAUGGUAUGUUUUGUGCAUGCUAUGUUUCAGGUGUACUUGUAGUCAGCGACGAAGACGAUUCAAGAAGAGGAACAUUGCUGAGAAAGUGAAUGGGACUUGCAAACAGGGUAAGUGUUACAAUUGUUUGUUUGAUUUUUACCAUGCAUACUUUGCUUUGCUCUGUUUCAGAUUUCACAUGCAGAAAUGGUCUCAUAGCAGUGCCAACAGUGAAUAAGGAUUUCAUCUGCUGUGAAACAACUCAACAGAAAGUAGGUAAGCAUUGAAUGAAUGCACUUGAGUUGUACAAUUUGAUGUGAUGCUUUUUUUCUGUUUCAGAUUCAAGU